GCUUAACCGAAGAAGUGCAUCGGAAACUGGAAAACUUGAGUGCAGAAGAGGACAGUGGAACUCCAUGUGUAGCGGUGAAAUGCGUAGAUAUAUGGAAGAACACCAGUGGCGAAGGCGGCUGUCUGGUCUGUAACUGACGCUGAGGCUCGAAAGCAUGGGUAGCGAACAGGAUUAGAUACCCUGGUAGUCCAUGCCGUAAACGAUGAAUGCUAGGUGUUGGAGGGUUUCCGCCCUUCAGUGCCGCAGCUAACGCAUUAAGCAUUCCGCCUGGGGAGUACGACCGCAAGGUUGAAACUCAAAGGAAUUGACGGGGGCCCGCACAAGCGGUGGAGCAUGUGGUUUAAUUCGAAGCAACGCGAAGAACCUUACCAGGUCUUGACAUCCUAUGCCAAUCUGAGAGAUCAGAUGUUCCCUUCGGGGACAUAGUGACAGGUGGUGCAUGGUUGUCGUCAGCUCGUGUCGUGAGAUGUUGGGUUAAGUCCCGCAACGAGCGCAACCCUUAUGACUAGUUGCCAGCAUUCAGUUGGGCACUCUAGUAAGACUGCCGGUGACAAACCGGAGGAAGGUGGGGACGACGUCAAAUCAUCAUGCCCCUUAUGACCUGGGCUACACACGUGCUACAAUGGAUGGUACAACG
rnacentral:rRNA from 1 species